AUUGAACGCUGGCGGCAGGCCUAACACAUGCAAGUCGAGCGGAUGAGAAGAGCUUGCUCUUCGAUUCAGCGGCGGACGGGUGAGUAAUGCCUAGGAAUCUGCCUGGUAGUGGGGGACAACGUUUCGAAAGGAGCGCUAAUACCGCAUACGUCCUACGGGAGAAAGCAGGGGACCUUCGGGCCUUGCGCUAUCAGAUGAGCCUAGGUCGGAUUAGCUAGUUGGUGAGGUAAUGGCUCACCAAGGCGACGAUCCGUAACUGGUCUGAGAGGAUGAUCAGUCACACUGGAACUGAGACACGGUCCAGACUCCUACGGGAGGCAGCGGUGGGGAAUAUUGGACAAUGGGCGAAAGCCUGAUCCAGCCAUGCCGCGUGUGUGAAGAAGGUCUUCGGAUUGUAAAGCACUUUAAGUUGGGAGGAAGGGCAGUAAGUUAAUACCUUGCUGUUUUGACGUUACCGACAGAAUAAGCACCGGCUAACUCUGUGCCAGCAGCCGCUGUAAGAC
rnacentral:rRNA from 1 species